rnacentral:rRNA from 1 species
AUACGGAGGAUCCGAGCGUUAUCCGGAUUUAUUGGGUUUAAAGGGUGCGCAGGCGGCCAUUUAAGUCAGCGGUUAAAUCGUGGGGCUCAACCCCAUUCUGCCGUUGAUACUGGGUGGCUUGAUUGCGGUCGAGGUUGGCGGAAUUCGUUGUGUAGCGGUGAAAUGCAUAGAUAUGACGAAGAACACCGAUUGCGUAGGCAGCUCACCGGGCCGGAACUGACACUGAUGCUCGAAAGUGCGGGUAUCAAACAGGAUUAGAUACCCUGGUAGUCCGCACAGUAAACGAUGAAUACUCGCUGUUUGCGAUACACGGUAAGCGGCCAAGCGAAAGCGUUAAGUAUUCCACCUGGGGAGUACGCCGGCAACGGUGAAACUCAAAUGAAUUGGCGGGG